GAUGCGGGAUCUCACAUGGUUACUUGAUAACCCAGGUCCUUGAUUACCCAAGGUUAUUUAGGUCACACAGAGAGGCUUGUUUCCACAGGAAUGCCUAAAAUCGCAUAAAGAUGCUGAAGUGCA